GUUAGGACUAGCAAUAUGUCCAAAGUGGCGAACGGGUGACUUCACGUAGGUAACCUGCCGCGCAGAGGGGGAUAACGACUGGAAACGGUCGCUAAUACCGCAUGGUACCCGAAGGACGGGAGUUCUUCUGGUUAAAACCUUGGUGCUGCGCGAGGGGCCUGCGUCCGAUUAGCUAGUUGGUGAGGUAAUGGCUCACCAAGGCGAUGAUCGGUAGCUGGUCUGAGAGGAUGAUCAGUCACACGGGAACUGAGACACGGUCCCGACUCCUACGGGGGGCAGCAGUGAGGAAUAUUGCACAAUGGACGCAAGUCUGAUGCAGCAACGCCGCGUGGAGGAUGACGGCCCUUGGGUUGUAAACUCCUUUUUUCAGGGAAGAGUGAGGACGGUACCUGAAGAAUAAGUCACGGCUAACUACGUGCCAGCAGCCGCGGUAAUACGUAGGUGGCAAGCGUUAUCCGGAAUUACUGGGCGUAAAGCGCACGCAGGCGGCUAGUCAAGUUCGACGUGAAAGCUCCCGGCUUAACUGGGAGAGGUCGUUGAAAACUGGUUAGCUUGAGGCAAUGAGAGGGGUGUAGAAUUCCCGGUGUAGUGGUGGAAUGCGUAGAUAUCGGGAGGAAUACCAGUGGCGAAAGCGGCACCCUAGCGUUGUUCUGACGCUCAUGUGCGAAAGCGUGGGGAGCAAACGGGAUUAGAUACCCCGGUAGUCCACGCUGUAAACGAUGAACACUAUGUGU
rnacentral:rRNA from 1 species